rnacentral:rRNA from 1 species
CCUACGGGAGGCAGCAGUAGGGAAUCUUUCACAAUGGGCGAAAGCCUGAUGGAGCAACGCCGCGUGCAGGAUGAAGGCCUUCGGGUUGUAAACUGCUUUUAUAAGCGAGAAAUAUGAUGGUAACUUAUGAAUAAGGAUCGGCUAACUUCGUGCCAGCAGCCGCGGUCAUACGUAGGAUCCGAGAAUUAUCCGGAGUGACUGGGUGUAAAGAGUUGCGUAGGUGGCAUAAUAAGUAGCUAGUGAAAUCUGGUGGCUCAACCAUUCAGACUAUUAGCUAAACUGUUAAGCUCGAGACCGUUAGGGGUAACUGGAAUUUCUAGUGUAGGAGUGAAAUCCGUAGAUAUUAGAAGGAACACCAAUAGCGUAGGCAGGUUGCUGGGACGGUUCUGACACUGAGGCACGAAAGCGUAGGGAGCAAACGGGAUUAGAUACCCCUGUAGUC